AGGAAGCCACUGGAGGAGUUCUUAAAUGCAGUAGAUGGAAUCACUUUGAAUGAUAUCACUAAAAUUUCUCAGAAGAUUAUUUCCUCACCUCUCACUAUGACAUCAUAUGGGGAUGUUUUCAAUGUCCCCUGUUACGAAUCCGUUAGCAGGAAGUUCCAUGCAAAAUGAAAUUGCUUUUUCAUUCUCACCAAGCCAAAAUAAAUCCCAGAGAAUUUUUAUUGAUUGCGGA